GCGGGGCCGAAGAGGCAGCUGGAGCGUGGGAGGUGGGGUUCUGCUGUUCGCGAAUCCAAGUACGAAUCGACACUGCAAGUCUCUGGUUGCGGGGGGUGCUGUGUGCUUCCAUGAAGUACCCACGGGAGCGUUUAACUAGGCAUACACCCAUACGGACGAGGAGAACGUGGGAAGAUUUGACAGCAACAAGAUUUUGAAAGGCACCAAAAAAAAGAAAGGGCAAGUAGUAGAUGAUUUAGCAAACCAAUAAUGGGGAGAGUUCAAAGGCAACAUUAUUUGCACCGUAGGAUCACCAAAAAGUUUAGGACCUGAUAACCUCGGGCACCUCUGGAAGUGGCAGUCCAGUGGAAAACAGAGGUCCUGGAAUUAGGAGAAUUGGAGAAAACUUUCUAAACAGAUCCCCUCCCCCUGCUCUCAGUAACUAGACUACUGACCAUCCCCCUUAAAGAAAAAAGACUGAGUUUUCCUUCUGGACAGGGUAAAACAGAAGGAAGAUUAAGCAACUAUGUACAUACUAAGUAAUAAAACACUUCCACAACCCUAGACUGUAGUCCUUCAGGCUCCUCUAUCCAUGGAUUUCCCAGGCAAGAAUAUUGGAGUUGGCUGCCAUUCCCUUCUCAAGGGAUCUUCCCCACCCAGGGAUCAAACCUGGGUCUCCUGCAUUGCAGGCAGAUUCUGUACUGUCUGAGACACCAGGGAAGCCCAAGACAGGAGGAAGAUUGAGCAAAUAUGUACAUACUGGGUAAUAAAACACUCUCUUCCACAAUCCCAGCCCAAUUUUCCACUUAGCUCCCAAAACAGUAGCUGCCAGGUCUUCAACCUCUCAGCAGGAGAUUAGAAGACUCUUCUUGGGAUCGUGUGAAGAAACAUCUAGAGAUAAUUAAAUCAGGGCUCCCCAGUAAGACAGCCCAGGUAGCAUGUGCUGUGCUCACUUGUUUAGUCACAUCCAGCUCUUUGCAAUGCCAUGGACUAUAGCCCACCAGGCUCUUCUGUCCAUGGAAUUUUCCAGGCAAGAAUACUGGAGUGGGUUGCCAUUUCCUCCUCCAGAGGAUCUUCCAGACACAGGGAUCAAACCUGCGUCUCUGGCAUUGGCAGGCAGGUUCUUUACCACUGAGCCACCUGGGAAGGCCAGGCAGAUCACCCCAUAAUUUAGCUCACAGUCAGCUAGCCCAGAAUUCCCCUGCCACUAGCCCAAAUGUCUCUUCUUGGCCACUGAUCUGGACAUCUAGCCUCAACUCAGCUCAAAAUGAACCCUGAGUGCUCAUGAGCCUCUGGUACUCUUAGUAUUUGCUCCUGCAAACGCACCUCCUGCAAUCAGAGCUGCCGCGCCUGCCGCCCUGUGGGCAACGCCAAGUGUGCCCAGGGGUGGGUCUGCAUACGGGCAGCAGAGACGGGCUGCUGCUGAGCCCAAUGUUGGGAGAGCCUGAUCCCAGACGUAAAUAGAGAAACACCUAUGAAUCUCCACUUACAAUUUUUUUUUUUUUUUACUUUUUUUUUCACUUACAAUUUUUUAUGCUACUACCCAGACCCUCUUGCUACAUUCCUAUUUCCAUGAAAUAUUCGCAUAAAUAUUUUUAUACAAAUUAAUAAUUUUGAACUGUGGUAUUGGAGAAGACUCUUGAGAGCCCCUUGGACUGCAAGGAUAUCAAACCAGUCAAUCCAAAAGGAAAUCAGUUCUGAAUAUUCAUUGGAAGGAUGGAUGCUGAAACUGAAACUCCAAUACUUUGGCCACCUAAGGUGAAGAACUGACUGAUUAGAAAAGACCCUGAUGCUGGGAAAGAAUGAAGGCAGGAGGAGAAGGGCACAACAGAGGAUGAGACGGUUGGAUGGCAUCACCGACUCAAUGGACAUGAGUUUGAGCAAGCUCUGGGAGUUGGUGAUGGACAGAGAAGCCUGGCAUGCUGUAGUCCUUGGUGUUGCAAAGAGUCGAACGUGACUGAGUGACUGAACUGAUUCAUAUAAAAAUAAACUCAUCUAGACAAAAUAUAA